AGAGUUUGAUCCUGGCUCAGGAUAAACGCUGGCGGCGUGCCUAAGGUAUGCAAGUCGAACGGGAACUACAUGUAGCAAUACGUGCUAGUUCUAGUGGCAAACGGGUGAGUAAUGCGUAGAUAAUCUACCCUUAACAUUGGGAUAACUUUGCGAAAGCAGAGAUAAUACCAUGUGUGGUGUAUGGGUGAAAUUCCUAUACA
rnacentral:rRNA from 1 species